GCCUCGUUCGUGAGAGGGUAGAGAAGUCUUUGGGGGUGAAGUUCACGGCAUCCGCACACGGGUCCCAGAUGUUUAGUAGGAGGUGGCAUGUGCAGAGAGUAUUCCCACCCAGUGAGAAGCUCACCCGGUACCUCUCUCCCCGCCAUGGCAACAUCAGAAGAGCAACAAGCCAACCUAUGGGGAUGCAGGACCCCUUGGACACUUGCUACCCUACUUCUGAGGUG